GCGGCUAUGGUGUAACGGUUAACACUACAGGUUGUGGCUCUGUCGAUCCGGGUUCGAUUCCCGGUAGUCGCC
rnacentral:tRNA from 1 species